GCGGAUUUAGCUCAGUUGGGAGAGCGCCAGACUGAAGUUAACUUCGGUCGUUGUCAUCUGGAGGUCCUGUGUUCGAUCCACAGAAUUCGCA
rnacentral:tRNA from 1 species